rnacentral:sRNA from 1 species
AUGGGGUUUUUCAAAUUACAUCAAAUUCCAACAUCUGAAUGGCAGAAAUUAGCACACCAAAGUGACAAAGGAACAAUAGAAGAAAAAGUAAUGGAAUUGCGGAAAUGUCCUAUUUGGUUCUACAAAGAAUUAAUGAAGCACAACAAAACAAAUAAUGAACGUCAAAAAAAAUUAGCCAUUUUGUUAUGCCAGAAAGCCAAUGUAAGCAGUGAGAGACGUCUGUCCAUUCAAGACAUUUAUGCUUUUGAGAACGUAUUGAAUGUUGAUAUUCUAGUUGUCAGUGCCACUAUUGGUAACAAAUUCAUACGAACUGUUCCAAAAGAUUCUUGGUGUGGAAAAUCUCAGCACAAACCCAACUUGGUAGUGGCUCAAACAGUGUGUGAGGAAUGCUUCGGUCAAGAACUCACGCCAAAUUCUAAAUGCGAUAACUGUGGAACUAGGUGCAAAAAAUAUUACUGCCGUAGUGAUGUGGACAUACUCAGACAAGCUUGUUUGAAAUUCAGAGAAAUUCUUAUGAAAAUCACAGGAAAAGAAGAAGUGGUAUUUGAGGAUGAAAUGCCAGAGAAAAAAUUAAUGGGAGGCGUGGAUCCUUUUCAAUGCACGACCAUUGCUGGGGUUUGCAUGGAAGUGUUUAAAAGCAAAUUUCUUCAAGAAGAAUGGCGUGUCAAAGUUAGAGGCAAUGAUGGAAUAAGUGAUUGGCUACAGGCCCGCCGACUGCAAGGGGACUUUUCCAUUUUAUUCAAGGAACAUUGGGUUACGGGUGAAGAGUUACAGAAUCAAGAAUACCGCCAGCAGCUUAAACAUAUAAGAACCAAACACUCCAUGAACGAGUUACUGACCAUGACCUUAAAAAAGAGAGACUACAUUCAGUCUCUGGGUAUGAAAUAUGUCUACAUUUGGGAGCAUGAUUUUGAAAACUUACUGAAGCAGAACCAAGGCGCAUCUGAUUAUGUUCAUUCCCUAAACCUGCAAGAAAGAUGCUGGAUAGAAGAGUCUUAUAUUUCGAUACGGAUUCAGUCAUUUUCGUCAGCAGACCUGGAGAUCAGGAACCAAAAGUCGGGUCAUUUCUUGGUCAACUUACCAGUGAGUUACAACCCAAAGAAUACAUUACAGAAUUUGUUUCGGGAGGACCUAAAAAUUACGCCUACAGGACUUCAGAAGGAAAAGAAGUAUGCAAAAUCAAAGGAUUUACCCUAA